rnacentral:rRNA from 1 species
GACGAACGCUGGCGGCGUGCUUACCACAUGCAAGUCGAACGAAGUGGCGAACGGGUGAGUAACGCGUAAUCAACCUGCCCUUCAGAGGGGGACAACAGUUGGAAACGACCGCUAAUACCGCAUACUGAAGGAGGGGAGUGCUGCUGAUUAGCUAGUUGGGGGGGUAACGGCCCACCAAGGCGAUGAUCAGUAGCCGGUCUGAGAGGAGGAGCGGCCACAUUGGGACUGGGACACGGCCCAGACUCCUACGGGAGGCAGCAGUGGGGAAUCUUCCGCAAUGGACGAAAGUCUGACGGAGCAACGCCGCGUGAGUGAUGACGGCCUUCGGGUUGUAAAGCUCUGUUAAUCGGGACGCGGUACCGGAAUAGAAAGCCACGGCUAACUACGUGCCAGCAGCCGCGGUAAUUC